rnacentral:misc_RNA from 1 species
GUCAAUUUUUUCUCUGAGGAUCCUGCAAGGAAAAUAGAAAUUAGAAGAACACGUGAACAAUAAAUUUCUUACAUGUGUUACAAUCCACAUGAAGCAAAUGAGUCAAGAAAUCCAAACCAAAUACAAAUAAAUCAACACCAAAUACAAAUAAAUCAGCAUCAGCAUAAAAUCUGAGGGGAGACAGAGAGUUUCAGCAAGUUCAGAUCAUAGAGCACUUGAAACUAAAUAAUAGAAAAAUGCCAAAUUGGAAUGUCCAAAUUAACAAUGAAAAUUAGACGAUGGGACAACACCAUUUGGAAUGAUCAGAUUGAAAAUUAAAUCACUAGCAUUGUUGUCAAGAAUGCAUUUCUUAUCAUGAAUACCGUAUCGAUUCAACUUGACUGAAAUCACAGAAUGUGAUAUGAGGUCUAAUGUAGGUCCAAAAUUAUCACAUUUUGUUGCACAAACAGCAUAUCAUGAUCAAUUCAAUUCAAUGAGGGACAGGGAUUGCACCGCUUAAAAAGGGAAACAUCCAAUUAAUACAUAUCACACAAAAAAACAAAUGGUUUUGCAUGAUUCAACUUAAUGCACUGGCACAUGCCUAUGAGUGAUAAGACAAAAGAAAACCAGAAGCAAAAUACCACCCCCCAUUCCCAAGCUCCAAAGGAAACACAGGCAAACAUGGUCUGACAAUCAUUGAAAUUACUAAGGUAGAAGUAAAUGAUACAAAAUACAGGAAAAAUGCAACAUAUUGCUUACUAUCACAUACCUUCUGAUGAGUCUGGUAUGUAU